rnacentral:sRNA from 1 species
AAUAUUUUUUUUUGUGCUAAUUUUUAUGUGAUUAAGAUUUAGUUAAGAUUUAAUUGAUUUUGUAUAUAAAAUAUUAAAAGUAAACUGUGAGUUGUAUAUGUUUUGUUGAUAUUAUCUAUAUUGUUUAGUGUUUAAGAUUAUACACUUGUAGUUUGAUUGUUAAUUUAAGAGUUUCACCUGUAGUAUACCAUCUUGUAUUAAUAUCGAUCUAAACCCGUCAAUUCUAGGAUUUUCUAUCUUGUAUUAAAAAUUGAAUCACAUCAUACACAUAAAAAAAUCUAAUAUGUUAUUAAUUAUUGUAGUAUAUAAGAUUAUAAAUUUUCAAUAUAAUAUGUAUGAAAUUGAAUAUAAAUAUUUCAAAUAUGACCCGUUACUCAGUAGAAAGUUUUCUUAAAUCUAUUUUUCACCCGUUAUAAUAUUUUUCAUGUAUUGAACAGUUUAUAUUCACAAUUUUCAAAAAUUCAAAUUAUGACAUAUGCGAAAAAACUCUAAUUAUUUUUUAUAAUGAUGAUAUUAUUUUUUGCAAAAAUAGAAUCAUAUAAAGAUGAGAAGUGAACUAUAAUAAUUAAUAAAAAAAUUAAUAUGAUAAUUUAGAUAUCAAAUCUAAUUUGUUGAUUUUAAUAGGUUACUCUUUUGGAAAUUAAUAAUGUAUUUCGUUUUUCUAAUUAAAUUAAAUUAAUUAAAAUUUAGAUAUCAAAUCUUAUAUGUUUAUUUUGAUUGGUUAUUAUUUUUGAAAAUUAAUAAUGUAUUUCGUUUUUUAAUUAAAUUUAAUUAAUUAAAUUAGUAUUUGAUUUUUUAAUCCUUAAAGAGAUAAAUUAAUUUACUCUUUAAAAUUUUAUUUCUAAUGGCAUACCUAUGUAAUUUCUUACAAAAAUUAAGGUUAUAUUUAAAAUGUACUUCCCAAAUAAUAUAGUAGGAUGUAUGUAAAUUAAAAA